AAGUUGAUUCACCAGACUUGAGCUUGUUUUUUGAACAAUGCAGGAUGUCUCCCUCAAUUAUGAAAAUGUUAAUUUUGUAUCAUUCAAAAUUGUGAGGUGUCAUUUCAAGGCGGACACCCAGAACUUCGGCAGACUUUAUUUUUAAAAGUAUAUUUAUUCCAAUAAAUCAAUUUAUUUUUAUUUUUAGAGUUUUUGAGUUAUCUAUAAGUAAAAAGUGUGAAUAUUUUCGUAACUUACUUUUUUAUGUGAUAAAAUUAAUUUUAUUGGACUUCCAACAUAAAUUGAUUUAGCAAAACUCAGUUCAAAGGUUUAAAUCAGACCUAAAACGUCAGGACCCGCCCACGUACCUGCAUGCAGCUGUGGAAGAACAAGCCCAGACACGUUUCUUCACGGAGCCCAAUAGGAAAACACUUUACCGAACUCAUGUUUAGGGUCUUCUAGGCGCGAUGCGAGACGUCACAAGCGGGCUAACGUUGAGCCAAACAGCAGCUUCGAGGCACGGGCGGAAAUGAGAAGGAGUUUGGCCCCCAGUCAGGUCGCCAAACGGAAGCAAGGGGAGGAUGAUCAUCGAGACGAAAUAUAGUAUAUUAACCACGCGGUUCUCGAGAGAAGAUGAAUGGAGAAAAUUGGGACAGUGAUGAAGAAGUCCAAGUUCCAUGGCCACUCAACAAAGCAGGAGGAAGGAAGCAGUCACAAACCAAAUACGUGGCAAGAAUUCUGAGAUUUGGUGAAGACACACGUGAACUGACGCCAUAUUUGAAAGCCGCUCAGGAUGGCAAGGAUGUACC